rnacentral:rRNA from 1 species
AACCCCUAAACCAAUUGUCUCAAUUCGGAUUGCAGGCUGCAACCCGCCUGCAUGAAGCCGGAAUUGCUAGUAAUCGCGGAUCAGCAUGCCGCGGUGAAUACGUUCCCGGGCCUUGUACACACCGCCCGUCACACCAUGGGAGUCGGUAACACCCGAAGCCAAUAGUCUAACCGCAAGGAGGACGUUGUCGAAGGUGGGAUUGAUGACUGGGGUGAAGUCGUAACAAGGUAUC